AUCACUUCUCGGCCUUUUGGCUAAGAUCAAGUGUAGAAAUUUUUUCCCUGUUUCCAUUUUGGUAAGUUGUAUUUUUCUAGAAAAUUUCUGUUUACCUACAUUCUGAAAUUUACUGAAACAAAGUUGUUCAUAAUAUCCUUU
rnacentral:snRNA from 1 species